rnacentral:rRNA from 1 species
AUGCUAGCAAGAUGGGCAGCAUAUCUUGAGAGGUUUAACUAUCUCAUCGUGCAUAAAUCUGGAAUAACUAACAGAGUGGCCGAUGCUUUGAGUCGUCAUGCAUGCCUCUUGACUUUUUUUGAAGCUGAACUUCCGGGCAUGGGUCAAAUAAAGGAGUUGUAUGAGGGUGACGAAGACUUUGGCCAUGUUUGGGUAAAGCACGCAAGGGGCCAACCAUUAGGUGAUGACUAUUUGAUGCAAGAUGGGUAUCUCUUCAAAAAUGAUCGUUUGUGCAUUCCAAGAAGUUCUCUACGUGACAAGCUGGUUAGAGAGCUCCAUUCAAGUGAUCUUAGUGGCCAUGUUGGACGGGACAAGACUAUCGCUAACCUGGAAGCUCGCUACUUUUGGCCACAACUAAAGAGAGAUGCUGGAAAGUUCGUUCAACGGUGCCCCGUAUGUCAGACCUGCAAAGGCCAAGUCCAGAACACAGGGUUAUACAUGCCUUUGCCUGUUCCUGUUGCUCCAUGGGAGGACAUUUCUAUGAACUUCGUCUUGGGCUUGCCAAGAACAAGACGAGGAAGUGAUGCUGUAUUUGUGGUCGUGGAUAGAUUCUCUAAGAUGGCUCAUUUCAUCCCAUGCCGCAAGACAACGGAUGCUCAUCAUGUGGCAAACCUAUUCUUUCGAGAAGUGGUCAGACUUCAUGGAGUUCCAAGGUCCAUUGUCUCAGACCGUGAUAGCAAGUUUCUUGCUGCAUUUUGGCUCACUUUGUGGAAGCAAUUCAACACUGAAUUGAAAUUUUCUAGCACUGCUCAUCCACAAACAGAUGGACAAACGGAAGUGGUGAACAAGUUUUUGGGUAAUCUGAUCCGUUGCAUUUGUGGAGAAAGAAAGGGGCAAUGGGAUUUGGCUUUAUCUCUUGCAGAGUUCUCCUACAAUAACUCCAAGCAUAGAUCCACAGGAAGGAGCCCUUUUUUCAUUGUCUACACUAAAGUUCCAACACAUGUGGUGGACCUGGUGAAGCUGCCAUCAAGGGGAAACUCAAAAUCAGCAUUGUCCUUUGCUGAUAAUUACACCGAGUUAUUUGAAGAGAUUCGCGGCGCUUUGGAAGCACAAAAUCAGAAAUAUAAACAACUUGCUGAUUGCAAAAAGAGGCCAAAAUCAUUCCAAGUCGGUGAUAAAGUGAUGGUCUACCUCCGAAAAGAGAGGCUGCCUUUAGGUGUUAAAGGGAAACUUAGGCAGCGAAGGUAUGGGCCCUUCUCUAUCAUGAGGAAGAUAAAUGAUAAUGCUUAUGUGAUAGAUCUUCCAAGUGACAUGGGUAUCUCUAACACUUUUAAUGUUGCGGACUUGACUCUCUACCAUCCAGAAGAAGCGCUCUAUGAAGAUAACUCGAGGGCGAGUUCCAAACAACCAGGGGAGAAUGAUGAGGAACACUAG